UUUCAGGAUGCUUGGGAUGAUCUUGUCCUUCAGGUUGAACUGAGGGUCACAACUUUCAAGUCUUCAAAUUAGAAAUAGAAGAUAUAUUUCUAAUCGAUUGGUAUGGCGGUCCUAAACCUCUCAGUGUGGACGAGUACCUGCAUCCCAAAAUGUAGGUACUGCAGCAGAAAUAAUUUCCUUUAAAUGGCAAUGAUAUAACAUGAUAACCCCCCACCCUAAACAGUAACAAAUGAAUAAAAGUUUUAUGCCAUUUACGAAAUUCUCAUCUAUGAUUUCGUAAUUAAUUUUUAUUCAAUUAUGGUGGGUUAUGUCAUCCACAGGAACAGUUUUGGCUUCAUUGUGUGAAUGCUCUUCUAAGUCAUUUCUAUUUUGGGCUAUCUGCAAAUGCACAUAUUCAUUGGAGCUAUUGUAAAUAUAAGAUAAGUUGUAUAUGUUGUUUCAAAUCUUUGCAUUCCUUCCCAAAUACUCUUGUAUUCUUGUACCAUCGCUAUAUAUCCCUUUGCCAUUUGAGAUGCUUCUCCAAGCAUCGUAAUGUUGAAGAGGAAACAGCGUAAGCUACUGCGGUUAACCCUCUACUUUUAGCUUUUUAUAUAGACAAGCAAAUUGUGUAUACUUGACCAGUGUGGCUAUUAAAUAUGAACAUAUGUUGCAAUGGUUCAGUGUGCCCUAUUUUAUUCGACC